rnacentral:rRNA from 1 species
AGAACGAACGCUGGCGGCAGGCCUAAUACAUGCAAGUCGAACGCACUCUUCGGAGUGAGUGGCAGACGGGUGAGUAACGCGUGGGAACCUUCCCAAUGGUACGGAAUAACUCCGGGAAGCCGGUGCUAAUACCGUAUAAGCCCCUCGGGGGAAAGAUUUAUCGCCAUUGGAUGGGCCCGCGUCGGAUUAGCUAGUUGGUAAGGUAAUGGCUUACCAAGGCUACGAUCCGUAGCUGGUCUGAGAGGAUGAUCAGCCACACUGGGACUGAGACACGGCCCAGACUCCUACGGGAGGCAGCAGUAGGGAAUCUUGGACAAUGGGCGAAAGCCUGAUCCAGCCAUGCCGCGUGAGUGAAGAAGGCCUUAGGGUUGUAAAGCUCUUUUGGCGGGACGAUAAUGACGGUACCCGCAGAAUAAGCCCCGGCUAACUUCGUGCCAGCAGCCGC